rnacentral:rRNA from 1 species
CCUACGGGUGGCAGCAGUGAGGAAUAUUGGUCAAUGGACGGGAGCCUGAACCAGCCAAGUAGCGUGAAGGAAGAAGGCACUUAGUGUUGUAAACUUCUUUUAUCCGGGAAUAAAGGCGGCGACGCGUCGACGUAUGAGUGUACCUGAAGAAUAAGGAUCGGCUAAAUCCGUGCCAGCAGCCGCGGUAAUACGGAGGAUCCGAGCGUUAUCCGGGUUUAUUGGGUUUAAAGGGAGCGUAGGCGGGUAGUUAAGGUAGCCGGUAAAAUGUGGGGCUCAACCCUCGGACGGCCGUUGAAACUGGUUGUCUUGAGUUCGAUAGAGGUAUGCGGAAUUCGUGGUGUAGCGGUGAAAUGCAUAGAUAUCACGAAGAACUCCGAUUGCGAAAGCAGCAUACCGGAUCCAUACUGACGCUGAGGCACGAAAGCGUGGGUAUCGAACAGGAUUAGAUACCCGUGUAGUC